AAAUCAUUUUGGGGACAAUUUAUGAUUAAUCCUUUGUAUCUCUCCCAAGCUUCGUAUAAGGACUCCCCCACAUGUUGCUCAAAGUUUUAUAUGGGCUUCCUGAGUUU